CCUACGGGUGGCAGCAGUGGGGAAUAUUGGGCAAUGGGCGCAAGCCUGACCCAGCAACGCCGCGUGAAGGAAGAAGGCUUUCGGGUUGUAAACUUCUUUUAAGAGGGAAGAGCAGAAGACGGUACCUCUUGAAUAAGCCACGGCUAACUACGUGCCAGCAGCCGCGGCAAUACGUAGGUGGCAAGCGUUGUCCGGAUUUACUGGGUGUAAAGGGCGUGCAGCGGGGAAGACAAGUCAGUUGUGAAAGCCCGCGGCUCAACCGCGGAACUGCAUUUGAAACUGUUUUUCUUGAGUACAGGAGAGGUCAUCGGAAUUCGUGGUGUAGCGGUGAAAUGCGUAGAUAUAAGGAAGAACACCAGUUGCGAAGGCAGAUGACUGGACGGCAACUGACGGUGAGGCGCGAAAGCGUGGGGAGCAAACAGGAUUAGAUACCCUAGUAGUC
rnacentral:rRNA from 1 species